UAUCACGAAGAUGGGGGUAUUAAUGUC
rnacentral:piRNA from 1 species